rnacentral:rRNA from 1 species
UCAAGAAACUUCCACAAUGGGCGAAAGCCUGAUGGAGCGACGUCGCGUGAUGGACGAAGUGCUUCGGCACGUAAACAUCUUUUAUGUGGGACGAAAUUAUUGACGGUACCACAUGAAUAAGGGGCUCCUAACUCUGUGCCAGCAGGAGCGGUAAUACAGAGGCCCCAAGCGUUAUCCGGAAUCACUGGGCGUAAAGGGUGUCGAGGCGGUCAUGUUAGUCGUUCGUAAAAUCCGUGGGCUCAACCUACGGCCGGCGAGCGAAACGGCAUGACUUGAGGUUGGGAGAGGUGCAUGGAACUCACGGUGUAGGGGUGAAAUCCGUUGAUAUCGUGGGGAACACCAAAGGCGAAGGCAGUGCACUGGCCCAAAUCUGACGCUCACACACGAAAGCUAGGGUAGCGAACGGGAUUAGAUACCCCUGUAGUCCCUGAGCGGGCUGGCAAGGCGCAU